rnacentral:rRNA from 1 species
GAUGAACGCUGGCGGCGUGCCUAAUACAUGCAAGUCGAGCGAACAGACGAGGAGCUUGCUCCUCUGACGUUAGCGGCGGACGGGUGAGUAACACGUGGAUAACCUACCUAUAAGACUGGGAUAACUUCGGGAAACCGGAGCUAAUACCGGAUAACAUGUUGAACCGCAUGGUUCAACAGUGAAAGACGGUCUUGCUGUCACUUAUAGAUGGAUCCGCGCCGCAUUAGCUAGUUGGUAAGGUAACGGCUUACCAAGGCAACGAUGCGUAGCCGACCUGAGAGGGGGAUCGGCCACACUGGAACUGAGACACGGUCCAGACUCCUACGGGAGGCAGCAGUAGGGAAUCUUCCGCAAUGGGCGAAAGCCUGACGGAGCAACGCCGCGUGAGUGAUGAAGGUCUUCGGAUCGUAAAACUCUGUUAUUAGGGAAGAACAAAUGUGUAAGUAACUAUGCACGUCUUGACGGUACCUAAUCAGAAAGCCACGGCUAACUACGU